GAGAGUUACUCUAAAGACCACCUUGAAAGUACUUUGUUUUGUAGGAAAGCUUAGACUAGCUUGGUGGUCUGGUAACAUACCUGUGCCUUAUCCCUUUAGUCUGUAGGCAUAAGGAUGAAGUAGGGAGCUCACAGUAAGAAGCCAUAAGAAGAAUGGGAGUAAGGGAGAGAAGCAAGCAGAUGCAAGUUCAUGAACAACAUUAGAGUUAGGAGAUCAACUAAGCUGUUUUCACCAGAAUGUAACUAAAAAGAAAACCACCGUUAUAGCCAUCUUCUCUUACAUCCUCCCACUGUGACCUCCAGCCACACUGCACAACUGCUUGCUGGUCUCCCAGUCCGUGGCCUGUGUUCACAUGACACAGUGCCCUCUCUCCCAUCACUUGCUCCAACAGAAGACAGUUCCCAUGUUGUGAGCUGCCCUACAGAGAGGCCCAUGUGGCAAGGAACUCUGGCCAAAA